AUAAAAACUGUGAAAAAGAGGAGUAAGAAUAGGAAGUAUUAAGAGAGGAGGGCCUUGGCUGUAAGCCUUCUAUAUGAAAUAUUCUGAAGGUAGCUUUUGAGUUUCUUAGCUGAAAUUAUAGUAAGUUAAGACGGCUAAUCUAGUCGUUAUUAAAUUAAGAGCCUGAGAUUUAAAAAGGAAAUAUCUAUUCAUAUUUAGUAGAUGUAAGUUCCAUUAUCUAAAUUAAAAUUUAGAGUGUCACUCAGGAAUAAAGGUGGUACCGCGAGUCUUCGUCCUUUUU
rnacentral:ncRNA from 1 species